rnacentral:rRNA from 1 species
GCUACGGGAGGCAGCAGUGGGGAAUAUUGCACAAGGGGGGAAACCCUGAUGCAGCGACGCCGCGUGAGUGAAGAAGUAUUUCGGUAUGUAAAGCUCUAUCAGCAGGGAAGAAAAAAGACGGUACCUGACGAAGAAGCCCCGGCUAUCUACGUGCCAGCAGCCGCGGUAAUACGUAGGGGGCAAGCGUGAGCCGGAUUGACUGGGGGUAAAGGGAGCGUAGAAGGCGCGGCAAGUCGGAAGUGAAAGGCAGGGGCUUAAACCCUGAACUGCUUUGGAAACUGCCAUGCUAGAGUGCUGGAGAGGUAAGUUGCAUUCCUCUUGUAGCGGUGAAAUGCGUAGUUAUUAGGAGGAACACCAGUGGCGAAGGCGGCUUACUUGACAGUAACUGACGUUGAGGCUC